UUUCCGUAGGUGAACCUGCGGAAGGAUCAUUAUCGAGUUCGGGUCCUCUGGGCCCAACCUCCAACCCCAUGUCAACCGAAACCUGUUGCUUCGGGGGCGACCCUGCCUUUCGGCGCGGCGCCCCCGGAGGCUCAUCAAACACUGCAUCUUUGCGUCGGAGUCUUAAUGAAUUUAAACAAAACUUUUAACAACGGAUCUCUUGGUUCUGGCAUCGAUGAAGAACGCAGC
rnacentral:misc_RNA from 1 species